rnacentral:rRNA from 1 species
AGAGUUUGAUCCUGGCUCAGGAUGAACGCUGGCGGCGUGCUUAACACAUGCAAGUCGAACGGAGAAUUGAAGCUUGCUUCAAUUCUUAGUGGCGGACGGGUGAGUAACGCGUGGGUAACCUGCCCUUAAGUGGGGGACAACAGUUGGAAACGACUGCUAAUACCGCAUAAAGUUAAGAGCCUGCAUGGGCUUUUAACCAAAGGAGUAAUCCGCUUUUGGAUGGACCCGCGUCUGAUUAGCUAGUUGGUGGGGUAACGGCUCACCAAGGCGACGAUCAGUAGCCGGCCUGAGAGGGUGAUCGGCCACACUGGGACUGAGACACGGCCCAGACUCCUACGGGAGGCAGCAGUGGGGAAUCUUCCGCAAUGGACGAAAGUCUGACGGAGCAACGCCGCGUGAGGGAUGAAGGCCUUCGGGUUGUAAACCUCUGUCUUCAGGGAAGAAAAAAAUGACGGUACCUGAGGAGGAAGCCCCGGCUAACUACGUGCCAGCAGCCGCGGUAAUACGUAGGGGGCGAGCGUUAUCCGGAAUUAUUGGGCGUAAAGGGCGCGUAGGCGGAUAUUUAAGUCAGAUGUGAAAUCCCGAGGCUUAACUUCGGGCGUGCAUUUGAAACUGGGUGGCUAGAGUGCAGGAGAGGUAAGUGGAAUUCCUAGUGUAGCGGUGAAAUGCGUAGAUAUUAGGAGGAACACCAGUGGCGAAGGCGACUUACUGGACUGUAACUGACGCUGAGGCGCGAAAGCGUGGGGAGCAAACAGGAUUAGAUACCCUGUAGUCCACGCUGUAAACGAUGGAUACUAGGU